UGCCUGGUGUAGUGGUUUGAGUGUUGGACUAUGACUCUGGAGUUCAGGGUUCAAAUUCCUGCUUGGCCA